rnacentral:rRNA from 1 species
UACAGGGGGUGCAAACGUUGCUCGGAAUCAUUGGGCGUAAAGCGCACGUAGGCGGUUCGUUAUGUCGGAUGUGAAAGCCCUUGGCUUAACCGAGGAAGUGCAUCCGAAACUGGCGAGCUAGAGUACGAAAGAGGAUCGCGGAAUUCCGGUGUAGAGGUGAAAUUCGUAGAUAUCGGGAGGAACACCGGUGGCGAAGGCGGCGAUCUGGGUCGAUACUGACGCUGAGGUGCGAAAGCGUGGGGAGCAACAGG